rnacentral:rRNA from 1 species
UACAGAGGUCUCAAGCGUUGUUCGGAUUCAUUGGGCGUAAAGGGUGCGUAGGUGGCGCGCUAAGUCAGGUGUGAAAUCUCGGAGCUUAACUCCGAAACUGCAUUUGAUACUGGCGUGCUUGAGGACUGGAGAGGAGACUGGAAUUCACGGUGUAGCGGUGAAAUGUGUAGAGAUCGGGAGGAACACCGGUGGCGAAGGCGGGUCUCUGGCCAAACCCUGACGCUGAGGCGCGAAAGCGUGGGGAGCAAACGGG